rnacentral:rRNA from 1 species
UACGAAGGGGGCUAGCGUUGUUCGGAAUCACUGGGCGUAAAGCGCGCGUAGGCGGAUUGUUAAGUCAGGGGUGAAAUCCCGAGGCUCAACCUCGGAACUGCCUUUGAUACUGGCGAUCUCGAGUCCGGGAGAGGUGAGCGGAACUCCGAGUGUAGAGGUGAAAGUCGUAGAUAUUCGGAAGAACGCCAGUGGCGAAGGCGGCUCACUGGCCCGGUACUGACGCUGAUGUGCGACAGCGUGGGGAGCAAACAGG